rnacentral:tRNA from 1 species
AGGGGUGUAGCGUAGCCCGGUAUCUCGUCCCGAUUGGUAUCGGGAAGGUCGUAGGUUCGAAUCCUGCCACCCCGA